UACGUAGGGGGCUAGCGUUGUCCGGAAUCAUUGGGCGUAAAGCGCGUGUAGGCGGUCCGGUAAGUCCGCUGUGAAAGUCGGGGGCUCAACCCUCGGAUGCCGGUGGAUACUGUCGGGCUUGAGUACGGAAGAGGCGAGUGGAAUUCCUGGUGUAGCGGUGAAAUGCGCAGAUAUCAGGAGGAACACCAAUGCGAAGGCAGCUCGCUGGGACGUUACUGACGCUGAGACGCGAAACUGGGGAGCAA
rnacentral:rRNA from 1 species